UGUUUUGUAAAUUCCCUUUGAGGAUCAGAACUGAGAGACUGGAGAGAGAGUGGUUUCCUGCGCUGGCAGAAGGGGAGUCACAAAAGCUCCUUGACUCCUAACAACAGACUUGCUGUGGGGCUUAUACAUAAAAUACAGCAUUUCUAACCCAAGACAUAAUAUUCAGAGCUAAGACAAGCAGCAAUGAUUCUUACCCAACUUAGAAGUGGCUAAAUAUAGACCUUUUGAGUUAUCUGUAGGUUGAAACAUUUUUGAUGCAUAGAGGACUCCUUGGAUGACACAGAAGCAUUACAGGAAUAUGGUGGCCAUUGCAGAGUGUGGCUGAAGGAGAGUGAGAGAGGCUGUUUCAUUCACUUGCAAUUCUACCAACGUCAUAUAUGCCAUCACUCGCUCACAGUACCCCUCUGCUGUCUACAUUGGAGCAACUGGGCAAUGCCUACAUGACAAAAUGAAGGAAGGCCAAUCUGACGUGCAGAAAGAUACACAGGCCUGGGCAGAAUACUUUAACCUCCUAGACCUUAUAUUGCUGACCUGAGCUUUGCAGUUUUCAGGAAGCAAACCUUCAAAAACCAUUUUGAACAGGACAUUGCAGAACAAGAAAUCAUCCACAGGCUGAUUGUGUUAAGUAUUAAACAGGGACUAUGGAUUCUUAGCCCAUUACCUGGAUUAGUUUUUGUGACUCCUUUGUACCUUCAAGUGUUUUGCUUAUAUGUUUGCCUCUCCCAGCAUGGUCCCCUUCCCUCUCCCACCUCUCCUCUCUGCCCUUCCCUUCUCUGCUUAUGUAUUCAAAUUUCUCUCUCUUUAUGCCCAUCCUUUCAUAGCAUCUAAUGAAGUGAAUUUCAGCCCACAAAAGCUUGCUAUAGAAACAACCACACAUUCACCCACACACACACACUGAUUAGUCUAUAAGUUGCAAAUCUACUCUGCCUUCUAUGAGUACUUGUACCCUAGUGAUUCGUGGCUGCCAUAACCAGGAUUGAUGUACCACCAGGACUGCCCCAAAUGGAGAAAGGGAAGAGCAAUUUUGUGUCCCAUCUUGAGCUGAGCUCACAGCCCUUCAGCCAUCAUUUGAUCCUCAAUUGUUGUAUUUAAUAUACUGAUAUCAGAGUGAGUCAUACUUAAUUCACAAUCAAUCAGUUAUUCCAGAACUGAGUUUUUAUACACACACACGUACACACUUCAAAUAUAUUAUUUUCCCAGCAGUAUCAGUCCAAGAAGUAAAUUUAAAUGUGCAUAAGAUUUAUAAUUCUAUUUUCUGUUAGCAAUAUUGGAAUAAUCUGAGUGAUUUGUGAACAUGUCUUAGUAAUGGCUAAGAAUGAGUUCCAGUCCCUAUUGUAAACCCUUAUUUCACAUCAGAAUUAAUCAUAUGAUUUAUUUCCUCACUUCUAAAAUUGUACAUUCACUAAUACAAAGGAAUAGGUCUAUUUUACAGUUAUUUUAUCACAUUAUUGUUUUAACACAGAAACUAGUAGUAAUAACCAUUAGCAGUAAUCUAGUCCGUGUUAAAAUUUAGCCACAUAUAAAAUCUAUUAAGUAAAUCGGUUCCAACCCUAUAUGAAUGGUGAGAAAACUGAGGCACAGGCUAAGUGGCCUGCUUUCACGCAAGGAUUUCAUAAUGGGAUUAGUCUAUUUUACGCACUUCAUGCAGCAGUGCCUACCAUUCUUAAAACUGACUUCUGAAUUCCACUCUAACAUUCUAGUUGCUUUUUUGCACUACUAUCUUUCUAAAUAAAUUCCUUUUGGGAUGAAGUUUUUCUUACUGCAACUCAGGCUCAGGUCACAGUUGUGUAUGUUCAGAAAGUUUGAGCAUAAUUGGCUCUGACUUACCCUGCUUCCAGGUUCUCAUCAAUUGUAUUGUGUCUUGAUAACGGCUGUCAGUAGCAACAAUAAACUUAGAUUUGUAUAAUUCAUGCAGAGCGGGGAAACAAGCCAACUUGGAAGAAACUUGAUUUAAACACUUUUAAAACUCAAAUUAUAAAUGUGCAAAAGGCUUCAUAUAGUGUGCUAUUACGCUAUUUCUGAUCAUACUAAAAAGCAGGAAUUUGGAAUGAGCAGGAAUUUGGUAGUUUGGCUCUGAAUCAGUGUAAAUACGGAGACAGUUAAACUGAAUGGUUGAGAAUUUGAAAUUGCUGCACUCAGAAACUAUUGUCGACAGCAGUCUGGUUACACAGGUGUCAAGCCAAGUAGCUGCAGAUAAAAAACACAUCUGUGCCCCUCAUUUUGUAAAUGGUUAUGUACAUGCCUAGUUCUUUGCAUAAGUAUUUCCACUGCAGUCUUUGAAAUGCUCUGUUCAGCUGUUAGGUUAGUAUACUCACCUGGAAGGAGAAUGUCUUUGCUUGAAGGACUAUUCAACAUGAAAUCCAUAAUUUGUCCUUGGAGUCCAUGUGAGGAGUACUAUUGACUUAAGUGGAAUAACUCAGCUGGCGAAAGUUUUUCACAUGAUAAAUAUUUAAGGAGUUUAUAUUCCCUCUUCCCGGCUUCCCCAUGCUCUGACUGCAAACAAACAUGUCCUUAUGCCUUCGCAGACAUGUACCACAGGUUGAGGCACAGCCAAGGGACACCAGAUUAGGCUCCUAAAGCCCUGGGAGUUUCAGGCACCUGACCCUACAAGGCAAUGUCAGUAGACACCAAUGAAGCAGAUCAUCUGCGCCAGGAUACAUGAUACAGAAUAGAUGAUUCUCAUCCAAAGACAACAUCUGUUUAUACCCUUCAAGAACAUUUCUGGAAAUUUUUCAACCCUCAUACUGAGAACUCAAAAAUUAAACAGUCAGGAUUAGACUUCAUAGACAUUAGGACUGGAAGGGACCUCGGAAAAUCAUCGAGUCCAGCCCCCUGCCCGAGGGGCAGGAAGACAUGAGCUGUUCAGACAGAAGGAUCCUCAUUAAGUCUGCAUCCUCAUGCACGUACCUGGACAUGCAGUGAAGCAGAUCCUUUGUCUUGAUCUGCUCCCUUUGUGCUCCGGUCUGAACAUGAACCAAGAAUGUAGCUAGGAAUGGACGUUUGGGUGCGCACAACCAAGGGGCUAGAAUAUAUCACAGAAGAUCAAAUUAUUACAUUGCAAAUUAUUUAAGACAAUUAAAACAUUGAAUAUUGCCCCCUGCAUAUCCUGGAACCCACAGAGUACCAAAUGAAGGGAAAGGAAAAACGUUCCUGGAUUUUUUUUAAAAAGGGUAUUCAAAUUUGCUUAUUUAAGGACGGUUCAAAAUUAACUGAGUGGGCAGUAGCCUGGCUGGGGUCUCUCAGACAUCCAUUUUUUGGUAGAAAUCGAUGGAAACCAUCCAUAAAACCUUGCUAGAGAUUCUCCUAACAGCGAGUAAUUCCCAAUGAUCAAAGAGCUAGCAUGGUUUAAAGGAAACUGAGGAACAGGAAGUGUACGCUGCCAUUCAUCCCGUAAAUCUAGAGCACACAGAGGGAUGGGGGUCUAAGUGGUAACUGUACAGCAAGCUCAAGACAAAAAAGCUCUCCAAGUUCAAGCAACAGAGGUAAAUGUACAGCUGCAGGGAGAAGAUGUAUAGAGACAACACCUCUUGAAAAAUUCUAGUCAUUGGUAAAUCAUUCAUCUUUUUCUUCUUAAAGUCACUUACAUCUUUUUUUUUUGCAAUAUUUUAUUAAUUUUAUGAAUAUUUUAUUUGCCUCUAUUGACAGAAGAAAUCUUUUUUUUGGCUACGAUGAACAACUUAAUAAUGCUAUGUUUGUCAGAAAUAAAAACUUACGCAGC